rnacentral:rRNA from 1 species
CAAUGGAUGAGACCGGCGCACGGGUGCGUAACGCGUAUGCAAUCUACCUUUUACAGGGGAAUAGCCCAGAGAAAUUUGGAUUAAUGCCCCAUGGUAUUAUAGAGUGGCAUCAUUUUAUAAUUAAAGUUCCAACGGUAAAAGAUGAGCAUGCGUCCCAUUAGCUAGUUGGUAAGGUAACGGCUUACCAAGACGAUGAUGGGUAGGGGUCCUGAGAGGGAGAUCCCCCACACUGGUACUGAGACACGGACCAGACUCCUACGGGAGGCAGCAGUGAGGAAUAUUGGACAAUGGGCGCAAGCCUGAUCCAUCCAUGCCGCGUGCAGGAAGACGGUCCUAUGGAUUGUAAACUGCUUUUGUACGGGAAGAAACACUCCUUCUUGAAUGAGCUUGACGGUACCGUAAGAAUAAGGAUCGGCUAACUCCGUGCCAGCAGCCGCGGUAAUACGGAGGAUCCAAGCGUUAUCCGGAAUCAUUGGGUUUAAA